CUACCUUCCCCAUUAACACUAUGAUGACGUAUAUUCCGAUCUAAAUUUUUUGUAAAGUGCAUAAAAUUCGUAUUUAUAUUUUUAAUAUUUCUGUGUACUCAGCAGAAGUUUUAAGAGUGAUAUAAAAUUUAAAUGUGUUGUGAGCAAUAAAAAUUUGGCAAGGAUAACACAAAAAAAUGCAAUUGAUAAAUCAUCAAAACAAUUCGAUGGCUGGUAUUGAGGAGCUUAAACCAGACUGCGCAAGGCGGGUUACGAAUCAGAGUCCCAUGACUGAACACAACGCGAGUGGUGAAAUGGACUCGACACAAAAUAAUACGAAUGAUAGAAGA